CGCGUAGGCGGCUUUGCAAGCGUGCGGUGAAAGCUCGGGGCUUAACUCCGAGUCUGCCGUGCGAACUGUGAGGCUUGAGUCUGGUAGAGGUCGAUGGAAUUCCGGGUGUAGCGGUGGAAUGCGUAGAGAUCCGGAAGAACACCGGUGGCGAAGGCGGUCGACUGGGCCGGUACUGACGCUGAGGCGCGACAGCGUGGGGAGCAAACA
rnacentral:rRNA from 1 species